GGAUUGUGGCUUAGUGGUAGAGUGCUUGCUUAUCACUAGUGAGUUACUGGGUUCAAUCCUCAGCACCA
rnacentral:tRNA from 1 species